CCUAGGAACCAAAAAACAAUGAUUCUGCCUUUGUUGAGCUCAGUUGAGUUUUUGGAAACCAAGCUUGUUCUGGGGGCAGAGCUGCCUCAGAGGCAGUGCGAAUGCUUUGCUUCUGAUUGGUUACUCGUCUUUUGCCCAAGGCGGGUCUAAAAUGUUUAAUGGAGCAUUUGAUUGGUCAGAUUAUUUGACAAAAAACGGUUGGAAAUACUGUUUUAUUUGAACCACCGAUUGAAAUUCAACAUGGUAAAGAGAAAAAGAGGACAGAACAAAGCAAACCGAGGAAGUGAUCCUGUGAUGGGCUCAUCAGACCAAGCAGUUGGCAACAGUUGCCAAGAAAAUGAAAAAGACAACAGCAUAAGAGAGGACAGCAGUGGAUUUAUGGUUGAAACUUUAUUAAAACCACCGAAUUUAACAACAGAAAAGAUAUCAAGUAAGCAUAGAUGAACUAAAGAGAAGAUGCAG